AUUGAACGCUGGCGGCAGGCUUAACACAUGCAAGUCGAACGAGUGGCGGACGGGUGAGUAAUGUUUGGGAAUCUAGCUUAUGGCCGGGUAUAACUACGGGAAACUGUAGCUAAUACCGCGUACCAUAAGAUGUGCCCAAGUGGGAAUAGGUAGGUAGUGAGGUAAAGGCUCACCAAGCCGACGUUCCUUAGCUGGUCUGAGAGGAUGACCAGCGACACUGGGACGGAGAAACGGCCAAGAAUACUACGGGAGGCAGCAGGGGGGAAUAUUGAACAAGGGGGGCAAACCUGAGGCAGCGAUGACGAGUGAAUGAAGAAGGCCUUCGGGUUGUAAAGUACUUUCAGCGAGGAGGCGGUACCCGCAGAGGAAGCACAGGCUAACACCGUGCCAGCAGCCGCGGUAAUUC
rnacentral:rRNA from 1 species